rnacentral:rRNA from 1 species
GACGAACGCUGGCGGCAGGCCUAACACAUGCAAGUCGAACGAAGUCUUCGGACUUAGUGGCGGACGGGUGAGUAACACGUGGGAACGUGCCUUUAGGUUCGGAAUAACUCAGGGAAACUUGUGCUAAUACCGAAUGUGCCCUUCGGGGGAAAGAUUUAUCGCCUUUAGAGCGGCCCGCGUCUGAUUAGCUAGUUGGUGAGGUAAAGGCUCACCAAGGCGACGAUCAGUAGCUGGUCUGAGAGGAUGAUCAGCCACAUUGGGACUGAGACACGGCCCAAACUCCUACGGGAGGCAGCAGUGGGGAAUCUUGCGCAAUGGGCGAAAGCCUGACGCAGCCAUGCCGCGUGAAUGAUGAAGGUCUUAGGAUUGUAAAAUUCUUUCACCGGGGACGAUAAUGACGGUACCCGGAGAAGAAGCCCCGGCUAACUUCGUGCCAGCAGCCGCCGUAA